AGCUUGCUACUGGAUCAGCGGCGGACGGGUGAGUAAUGCUUAGGAAUCUGCCUAUUAGUGGGGGACAACGUUCCGAAAGGGGCGCUAAUACCGCAUACGUCCUACGGGAGAAAGCAGGGGACCUUUGGGCCUUGCGCUAAUAGAUGAGCCUAAGUCGGAUUAGCUAGUUGGUAGGGUAAAGGCCUACCAAGGCGACGAUCUGUAGCGGGUCUGAGAGGAUGAUCCGCCACACUGGGACUGAGACACGGCCCAGACUCCUACGGGAGGCAGCAGUGGGGAAUAUUGGACAAUGGGGGGAACCCUGAUCCAGCCAUGCCGCGUGUGUGAAGAAGGCCUUUUGGUUGUAAAGCACUUUAAGCGAGGAGGAGGCUACCUAGAUUAAUACUUUAGGAUAGUGGACGUUACUCGCAGAAUAAGCACCGGCUAACUCUGUGCCAGCAGCCGCGGUAAUACAGAGGGUGCGAGCGUUAAUCGGAUUUACUGGGCGUAAAGCGUGCGUAGGCGGCCAAUUAAGUCAAAUGUGAAAUCCCCGAGCUUAACUUGGGAAUUGCAUUCGAUACUGGUUGGCUAGAGUAUGGGAGAGGAUGGUAGAAUUCCAGGUGUAGCGGUGAAAUGCGUAGAGAUCUGGAGGAAUACCGAUGGCGAAGGCAGC
rnacentral:rRNA from 1 species